CUUUCCCUUUUUCACCCUCCAUUAUUUCUCUUAUGCAGAACUCAAUCUCAUCUCUUGGCACAAUCCCUUUUUCCUCAUCAACCUUAACUCUAAUUCCCACCUUCCAAACAUCCUCGACAAGUUUGGCAUUCACCGGUUGGUCGCUCCAUAAUGGCAUUGCCACCAUAGGCACACCCAAGCUCAUUGCCUCAAUUGUUGAGUUCCAACCACAAUGGGUCAGAAAGCAUCCCACAGCUUUGUUGGUUAGCACUUUUACUUGACAACUCCAGUUCACUAUAAGGCCCUUAUCACCCAAAUUUUCCUUGAAUGUUUUGGGUAGUUUUGCUUCCUCAGUAGCCCUAAUUACCCACAAGAAAUAGAAAUUGCUUCUCUUUAAACCCCACAAAAGUUCCUCCAUUUGGUUGUCACUUAAACCACAGAAACUGCCAAAGGACAGAUAAACCACUGACCUUUCUGGCUUUCUGCUGAGCCAAUUGCUUGAAACAGAGGCAUCUAAUGGAAAGAGGUCAACACCAUAAUUAUCAUCAUCUUCAAUCCGCUUGUCCAAGUAAAUUGACGGAACUGUCGGUCCAAUUGUGAGCACAGGACAAACUUUAGACAUUGUAUCCACCGCCUCAGGCUCUAGCUUGUAGAAAGUGUUUAUGAGUACAAAAUCAGCUUUAUCUGCGUUAGAGAACUGACUUAGGAGCAUCUCAGCGUUGGCAGGAUAUGAAUCUGGCAAACGCACGAACGAUGGCAAGUCUCGCAACUCAAGCAAAGGCAAUCCUGGAAUCGACACUGGGGUUGAAGAAAUUGGCAGUGAAAGCAACUUAUGCUGAAUAUUGUAGUAAAUAUAAUCAACCGCACAUGGCUGAGUGAAAAAGGCAGCUCCCAGCAACCCAAAUUCCUUGGCAACAUCUAAGGCCCAAGGCAAGAAAGGUUCAUAUAUCACACAGUCAAUAGGGUUCGGGGUCUUCUCAUACUUCAUGAUGAGGUUCGGCAGGGUUCUUGAACCGGCGGCCUUCAGCCGCUCAAGAUAGGUGUCGAAACUGUUAGAUUUUGGAAAGCCACCAUCAUCAUAGCCGUCGGAAAUUACAUCGAGCUGCACAGGGCCGACGGAGGAGCCAAGCUUCAUGGAUUUGGCAAUGAAAAUGGAAACAACAAGGGUGGCUUCAAGCCCUUUGGAAACCAAGCGCCUAGCGAAUUGCAUCAUGGGAUUUACAUGGCCUUGGCCAGGGAAAGGAACUAGUAGGACAUGAAAUUUAGAGGCUGUUUGUGUUUCCAUGCCUAUUAAAACUCUCUGUUUCUUUCUGUUUCUAUGAAUGAAGACUUGAGCUCACUGCAGCUCCAUCUGAAUUGGAGAAAUAAAUAAG
rnacentral:misc_RNA from 1 species